CCUACGGGAGGCAGCAGUGAGGGAUAUUGGUCAAUGGGGGAAACCCUGAACCAGCAACGCCGCGUGAGGGAAGACGGUUUUCGGAUUGUAAACCUCUGUCCUCUGUGAAGAUAAUGACGGUAGCAGAGGAGGAAGCUCCGGCUAACUACGUGCCAGCAGCCGCGGUAAUACGUAGGGAGCAAGCGUUGUCCGGAUUUACUGGGUGUAAAGGGUGCGUAGGCGGCCCUGCAAGUCAGAAGUGAAAUCCAUGGGCUUAACCCGUGAACUGCUUUUGAAACUGUAGGGCUUGAGUGAAGUAGAGGCAGGCGGAAUUCCCGGUGUAGCGGUGAAAUGCGUAGAGAUCGGGAGGAACACCAGUGGCGAAGGCGGCCUACUGGGCUUUAACUGACGCUGAAGCACGAAAGCGUGGGUAGCAAACAGGAUUAGAUACCCGGGUAGUC
rnacentral:rRNA from 1 species